GUAGGUGAACCUGCGGAAGGAUCAUUGUUGUAUAACCGAGGUGCGAGGGCUGUCGCUGAUCCGAAAGGUCGUUCACGCCCGAGUGCCCUCACUCACAACCAUCUCACCCCUAUGUGCACCACCGCGAGUGUCCGCCUUAGACCUGUUCGGAGGAGGGCUUACGUUUUCAACUAAAAUUUACAUACAGUGUAGCAUGUGUUUUUUGGUUUUGCGAACCCGCAAGCAAUACCACUUUCAACAACGGAACUCUUGGCUCGCGCAUCGGUGUACAACC
rnacentral:misc_RNA from 1 species